ensembl:lncRNA
UCACUGACACGCGGCGGACUUCCAGCCAGUGCUGCGGGGGAUCACAGAGGCGGGCAGACCGGGCAAAUGGGGCUGGGCACACAAAAAGCAGCAGCCAAAGAGUCAGCUUCCCUGCUUACAGGGGACCCCCGGCCACUGCCGCCAUUGAAAAGGGCCUGGGACUCCGGGACACAGAUGCUCCCUGACUUACAGGGCGGCCCCCAUCCCUACGGCCGAGGGAGGCUCCUUCUCUCCCAGUCCGGGGCACCUCGACCCACACCCCGCUAGCGGGGCGGUCACCCCACACAGGCUGCCAGCAGAGCACAAACGCUCACGCACCCAGACCCUGAUUACAGGCGGGUGGACAACACCCCUGGAGCCACAGAGCUCGGUUUCCCCCCCAGCAGCAGGAGCAACUCUCAGCAGCCAGGCAGCGGGGCGGCACGGCCAAAGGCCGCAGUCGGGAUCCCAGCCCCGAUUCCAGGGAGGGCGCAAGCCCCACCCCGCAUCUCACGGCCCCGCGCCUCUGAAAGGCCGGGGCCACAUUCCCACCUGAGUACAGGGGGUCUCUCAGAACGCAGCUCACCAAGCACACACGGGGGGCACACACAGCCCUGCCUACAGGACGGUACCCCCACACCUCACCCUCUUCAAGAAGCCCCGCGGAGCACGAGGCUCCCGCCAACGCCUGAGUUACAGGCUGGCCCGCCCGGCAGCAGCAGAACAUCACCAACGCCUCGUCUUUGGAAGCCCAGGGAGCUACCUCGACCCACCGAGCGGGGAGGUCACCCCACACACAAACAGCACCUCAACCUGCACCCUCUGACGGGACAGGGAGGGGUCACUCCCACCAGCUGGACGGCUAAAGCAGCCGGCUGCAACGCUGCAGCCUCCCCACACCUGGUUACAGGGCGGGCGGG